rnacentral:rRNA from 1 species
UGAGGAAUAUUGGUCAAUGGGCGAGAGCCUGAACCAGCCAAGUCGCGUGAGGGAAGACGGUCCUACGGAUUGUAAACCUCUUUGUCGGGGAGCAAUAAAGCGUACGCGUACGCAGAUGCGAGUACCCGAAGAAAAAGCAUCGGCUAACUCCGUGCCAGCAGCCGCGGUAAUACGGAGGAUGCGAGCGUUAUCCGGAUUUAUUGGGUUUAAAGGGUGCGCAGGCGGAAAGUGCAAGUCAGCGGUCAAACGACGGGGCUCAACCCCGUCUCGCCGUGCAAUCUGUCAUUUCUUAGAGUGAGCGAGAAGUAUGCGGAAUGCGUGGUGUAGCGGUGAAAUGCAUAGAUAUCACGCAGAACUCCGAUUGCGAAGGCAGCAUACCGGCGCUCAACUGACGCUCAUGCACGAAAGCGUGGGUAUCGAACAGAUUAGAUACC